GAUGAAGAACGUAGUGAAAUGCGAUAAGUAAUGUGAAUUGCAGAAUUCAGUGAAUCAUCGAAUCUUUGAACGCACCUUGCACCCUUUGGCUAUUCCGAAGGGUAUGCCUGUUUGAGUAUCAUGAACACCUCAACUCUCAUGGUUUGCCAUGAUGAGCUUGGACUUUGGGGGUCUUGCUGGCCUGUGGUCAGCUCCUCUCAAAUGGAUUAGCUUGCCAGUGUUUGGUGGCAUCACAGGUGUGAUAACUAUCUACGCUUGUGGUUUUCCACCAGGUAACCUUCAGCAAUGGGGGUUCGCUGGGGCUCAUAAAUGUCUCUCCUCAGCGAGGACAGCUCUUUGAACGUUUGAUCUCAAAUCAGGUAGGACUACCCGCUGAACUUAAGCAUAUCAAUAAGCGGAGGA
rnacentral:misc_RNA from 1 species